CCUACGGGUGGCAGCAGUGAGGAAUAUUGGUCAAUGGGAGAGAUCCUGAACCAGCCAAGCCGCGUGAGGGAAGACGGCCCUAUGGGUUGUAAACCUCUUUUGUCGGAGAACAAAACCCGGGACGUGUCCCGGACUGCGUGUAUCCGAAGAAAAAGCAUCGGCUAACUCCGUGCCAGCAGCCGCGGUAAUACGUAGGUGGCAAGCGUUGUCCGGAUUUACUGGGGGUAAAGGGCGUGCAGCCGGGAAGACAAGUCAGAUGUGAAAUCCCGCGGCUCAACCGCGGAACUGCAUUUGAAACUGUUUUUCUUGAGUACCGGAGAGGGCAGCGGAAUUCCUUGUGUAGCGGUGAAAUGCGUAGAUAUAAGGAAGAACACCAGUGGCGAAGGCGGAUGACUGGACGGCAACUGACGGUGAGGCGCGAAAGCGUGGGGAGCAAACAGGAUUAGAUACCCCAGUAGUC
rnacentral:rRNA from 1 species